rnacentral:rRNA from 1 species
CCUACGGGUGGCAGCAGUGGGGAAUAUUGGGCAAUGGGCGCAAGCCUGACCCAGCAACGCCGCGUGAAGGAAGAAGGCUUUCGGGUUGUAAACUUCUUUUCUCAGGGACGAAGAAAGUGACGGUACCUGUGGAAUAAGCCACGGCUAACUACGUGCCAGCAGCCGCGGUAAUACGUAGGUGGCAAGCGUUAUCCGGAUUUAUUGGGUGUAAAGGGUGCGUAGGCGGGAGCGCAAGUCAGAUGUGAAAACUCAGGGCUCAACCCUGAGCCUGCCUUUGAAACUGUGUGUCUUGAGUGUUGUUGAGGCAGUCGGAAUGCAGGGUGUAGCGGUGAAAUGCAUAGAGAU